rnacentral:rRNA from 1 species
UACGUAGGCAGCGAGCGUUGUUCGGAGUUACUGGGCGUAAAGAGCGCGUAGGCGGUUUUCUAAGUUUGGUGUGAAAUCUCCCGGCUCAACUGGGAGGGUGCGCCGAAGACUGGAAGGCUUGAGUAUGGGAGAGGUAAGCGGAAUUCCUGGUGUAGCGGUGAAAUGCGUAGAUAUCAGGAGGAACACCUGCGGUGUAGACGGCUUACUGGACCAUAACUGACGCUGAGGCACGAAAGCGUGGGUAGCAAACAGG